AGAGUUUGAUCCUGGCUCAGAUUGAACGCUGGCGGCAUGCCUUACACAUGCAAGUCGAACGGCAGCACGGGAGCAAUCCUGGUGGCGAGUGGCGAACGGGUGAGUAAUAUAUCGGAACGUGCCCAGUCGUGGGGGAUAACGUAGCGAAAGUUACGCUAAUACCGCAUACGAUCUAUGGAUGAAAGCGGGGGAUCGCAAGACCUCGCGCGAUUGGAGCGGCCGAUAUCAGAUUAGGUAGUUGGUGGGGUAAAAGCCACCAAGCCUGCGAUCUGUAGCUGG
rnacentral:rRNA from 1 species